rnacentral:rRNA from 1 species
CUGGCGGCGUGCCUAACACAUGCAAGUCGAACGCGAAAGCCCCGCAAGGGGUAAGUAGAGUGGCGAACGGGUGAGUAACACGUGGGUGACCUGCCUUCGAGCGGGGGAUAACGUCCCGAAAGGGUCGCUAAUACCGCAUAACAUCCUGCCUUUGAACAGGUGGAGAUCAAAGCUGGGGAUCGCAAGACCUAGCACUCGAAGAGGGGCCCGCGCCUGAUUAGCUAGUUGGUGGGGUAAUGGCUCACCAAGGCUUCGAUCAGUAUCCGGCCUGAGAGGGCGGACGGACACACUGGGACUGAGACACGGCCCAGACUCCUACGGGAGGCAGCAGUGGGGAAUUGUUCGCAAUGGGCGCAAGCCUGACGACGCAACGCCGCGUGGAGGAUGAAGAUCUUCGGGUCGUAAACUCCUUUCGAUCGAGACGAAUUCCCCUGGGGUGAACAAUCCCGGGGGUUGACGGUACCGAGAGAAGAAGCCCCGGCUAACUCCGUGCCAGCAGCCGCGGUAAUACGGGGGGGGCAAGCGUUGUUCGGAAUUACUGGGCGUAAAGGGCUCGUAGGCGGCCAACUAAGUCGGACGUGAAAUCCCUCGGCUUAACCGGGGAACUGCGUCCGAUACUGGAUGGCUCGAGGAUGGGAGAGGGA